CACAUACUUUCUUCAUUCCAAAUUACUCGUCGCAGAAAUGGAUGUAUUUAGAACUAAAAUACAUCUAGAUACAUCCAUAUUUGCGACAAGUAAUUCGGAACGGAGGAAGUACUUC
rnacentral:pre_miRNA from 1 species